GACAGAGGUGCCGAGCGUUUAGGCGGAAUCACUGGGCUUAAAGCGUGUGUAGGCGGGCGGGCAAGUACCUUGUGAAAUCCCACGGCUCAACCGUGGAACGGCUGGGUAUACUGCCUGUCUUGAGCCAACUAGGGGGCGAGCGGAACAGACGGUGGAGCGGUGAAAUGCGUAGAUAUCGUCUGGAACGCCAAAGGUGAAAACAGCUCGCUGGGGUUGUGCUGACGCUGGAGACACGAAAGCCAGGGGAGCGAACGGG
rnacentral:rRNA from 1 species